AGUUGAAAAGAUAGCUGCAAGAAGAAUAAUUGGAGGCAAAUGGUGCGCCAACAGUGGUCAAACCUGCAUUGCCGCAGACUACAUAAUCACUACAAAAAACUUCGUUCCUCAACUGCUAAAUGCUCUAUCGGCUCAAUUGGAUAAGUUCUUCGGAAAAGAACCUCUUCUGUCGAAGGAAUUGUCAAGUAUCGUCAACAUCCACCAUUUUAACCGAUUGUUAAAGUUACUAGAUGACGAAGAGGUUUCUAGGAAGAUCGUUCGAGGAGGUGAACGUGAUCAAUCCAAUCUGUAAGCUUUUGAAAUUGAACAGAAAACCGAGCACUCAACCCCUCAUGGAUGAAGAAAUUUUCGGUCCUAUACUUCCCAUAAUUACGUUUUUAGAGGCGGGAUUACCGUUCGGGGGCGUAGGUGGGAGUGGGAUGGGAGCAUGUCAUGGGAAGUUCUCAUUUGAUGCUUUCAGCCACAAGAAGGCUCUUCUAAAACAGAGUUUUGCCCUCGACAUAUCGGCAAGGUAUCCACCGUACACUCCGGGGGAAACAGCGUUUUCUCCG